CAGUCGCCGCGGUAAUACGGAGGGAGCUAGCGUUGUUCGGAAUUACUGGGCGUAAAGCGCGCGUAGGCGGUUACUCAAGUCAGAGGUGAAAGCCCGGGGCUCAACCCCGGAACUGCCUUUGAAACUAGGUGACUAGAAUCUUGGAGAGGUCAGUGGAAUUCCGAGUGUAGAGGUGAAAUUCGUAGAUAUUCGGAGGAACACCAGUGGCGAAGGCGACUGACUGGACAAGUAUUGACGCUGAGGUGCGAAAGCGUGGGGAGCAAACAGGAUUAGAUACCCGCGUAGUCCCUGUCUCUUAUAA
rnacentral:rRNA from 1 species